ACCACAUGAGGACCAGUUGAGCCAACUCGAGCGAAAUCUUUCAUUUCAAGACCGACUGCGGCAAGGGCUUUAUGAAUCUGGCUCAAUGCCAUUUGAGAGGUCUCUGUCUUUCCCUGAUGGUACUUCAGGGAUGAAUAUGGAUGUAAAUGCAAUGGUUCAUGGUCAUGGUUUAAAUAUGCAGGAGUUGAAUACGCGAAUGCAAUCUGCUGGUCAAGUGGGAAUGUUGUCUUCUGGUGGCCACCUGCAUAAUCCUCAUCACCCUAUGGUUCCUAUUCCUAACCAAUUCCAUGUUUCACAUCUAGAUGCGAUUGAAGGCCGCUGGCCUGAAAGCAAUGGG
rnacentral:misc_RNA from 1 species